AUCCCCUUAGUUAAAAAGGAUAUAAUAAACCCCUCCUAAGGGUUAGUUAUGGGUUCAAAUCCCAUAGGGGAUG
rnacentral:tRNA from 1 species